rnacentral:rRNA from 1 species
ACGGGAGGCAGCAGUGGGGAAUAUUGCACAAUGGGGGAAACCCUGAUGCAGCGACGCCGCGUGAGUGAAGAAGUUAUUCGUAAUGUAAAGCUCUAUCAGCAGGGAAGAAAAUGACGGUACCUGCAGAAUAAGCCCCGGCUAACUACGUGCCAGCAGCCGCGGUAAUACGUAGGGGGCAAGCGUUAUCCGGAUUUACUGGGUGUAAAGGGAGCGUAGACGGCAUGGCAAGUCUGAAGUGAAAGCCCGUGGCUUAACUGCGGGACUGCUUUGGAAACUGUCAAGCUAGAGUGUCGGAGAGGUGAGUGGAAUUCCCAGUGUAGCGGCGAAAUGCGUAGAUAUUGGGAGGAACACCAGAGGCGAAGGCGGCUCACUGGACGAUUACUGACGUUGAGGCUCGAAAGCGUGGGGAGCAAACAGGAUUAGAUACCCUGGUA